CGGAACGGGUGAGUAACGCGUGAGGAACCUGCCUCAAAGAGGGGGACAACAGUUGGAAACGGCUGCUAAUACCGCAUAAGCCCACGGCUCGGCAUCGAGCAGAGGGAAAAGGAGCAAUCCGCUUUGAGAUGGCCUCGCGUCCGAUUAGCUAGUUGGUGAGGUAAUGGCCCACCAAGGCAACGAUCGGUAGCCGGACUGGGAGGUUGAACGGCCACAUUGGGACUGAGACACGGCCCAG
rnacentral:rRNA from 1 species